GGUUAAUAUUCAUUUCUUAUUUGUCGGACAAUAAAAUUUAUGUUAUUUGUCGGACAGUAAAAUUUAUGUUAUUUGUCGGACAAUAAAAACCUGUUAUUUGCCUGACAAUGAAAUGUUUGUUCUAAUAAUGUUGUUAGUAAUUAAAAGGGUUACAUAGUUCGAACAUCAUUCAUGUCAUUUGAAAAUCAGGAUUUUAAUGUGUGUAUCAUACAUGGUCAAGCUGUUGAUAUUUUUUAAUGUGGGAUUUGACAUUUCUUUUUUCUUAGCAUUUCAUUGCUGUAUAAUGUGGUUUUCAUUGUACAAUAUCCAUAGCUUUUAAUAUUUUUAAUGAAAAAUCUUCGAGUUUUAUGGCUAUAUAUUUUUUGUUUUAUUUUCAUUGUACAAUAAACACA
rnacentral:lncRNA from 1 species